AUGUCAAUUUGGAGCCUUCCCUUGCUUAAGAACUUCGUACCAUCCUGGCGGGGCGGCCUUAUAUAGAGACUGGGAAGAUUGAUACUGGUAAAGAGCGUUAUUGCAGCAAGACCGUCGCAUCACUUGCUAGUGUUAGAUGCACCACAGUGGGUUUUUGAGGAGAUAGAUGCUUGGAUGAGGUCCUUCUUUUGGGCCGGAAAAGAGCCCACAAAUGGAGGGCAAUGCUUGGUUGCAUGGAACACAAUAUGUAGGCCAACUCAGUUUGAAGAUCUGGGUGUGAAGAACUUGAAACUGCAAGCUCUCUCCCUUCGAGUAUGGUGGGAAUGGCUGAGAAGGAUGGACAAAGAUCAACCAUGGUAG
rnacentral:rRNA from 1 species